GGGGAAGGCACGGGAAAGUGCCGGGGCUCCGGGGCUUCGGCCCCCGGCUGGAAGCACCGGCCUGGGCGACGGCAACAGGCCCGCCCGACGCUGCUGCUCUGGGGGCGCAAACUGAGCUCGCUGUGGGGGGCUGCCUCCACCUGGAGCCGGGAUUGUCUUGUAGCCUUUUGGGGCAGCAAGGGGAGGAAAAAGCCUUCAGGACUCCUGGAUGCCGUUCCCAGUUUCGCCGGCGGGCCUUGCUGCGGGGAGAGGGAGGCUCAGCGGGCCGGGCGUGAGGAGCCGAACGGUUCGGGGAUCCGGAAACGGUGAAAACGGCGUCGCAAGCACUCCGGGCUUCGCCCGCCGGUGACGAAACGCAGCGGCGCUCAACACCUCGCUCCCGUAACCCUUUCGUUGCCGCCCGCUCCAGGAGGAGGAGCAGCGGGAGCCGAGCGGGCGGGGCGGACGCGGCGCCGCCAUCCCGGCAGCGCCCGUGCGGCGGGGCGGGCGCUGGGGGGGGGGGGGGGGGGGGGGGGGGGGGGGGGGGGGGGGGGGGGGGGGGGGGGGGGGGGGGGGGGGGGGGGGGGGGGGGGGG
rnacentral:lncRNA from 12 species